GACUAGUGUUUUUGUUUUAAUAAGACAGGAGAUUGGAGCACGAAAUGCAACCAAUUACACAUUUCUUCCCUGAAGCCCAUUAAUUAUGAAGGUCUUCUGCGUCACUCCAACAACCCAAUUUCCUCUCCCGGGUCACGUGGCUACAGCCGCUGUAAAUGAGGGCUGAAUGAUUGAAAAUGUCCGUGCCGAUGCCGCGCGGUUUCCGCUUCGCCGCUUCGAGCGUGCCCGUGUCUGCGUGUGCGCUGUCUCGGACGGAGACAGCAUGGCUGGCGUCAGACGUUCGCGUCCCUCUUGCGCCAUGUGGAGGCGAAUUAAAAGCCUGUACCAGCGCAGCAACAUUCCUGACCGCAGAGUGCUGAAUAAACUCCUACUACUGAAACCCAAU
ensembl:lncRNA